GCAUCGGCGGUUCAGUGGUAGAAUACUCGUUUGCCACGCGGGCCGCUCGGGCUCGAUUUCCGACCGAUGCA
rnacentral:tRNA from 1 species